rnacentral:tRNA from 1 species
GUCUGGCUGGCUCAGCCAAUAGAGCAUGUGACUCUUGAUCUCAGGGUCAUGAGUUCGAGGCCCAUGCUGGGUA